UUCUCGCCUCUGGUUCAUCCUUUCAUCGCCUACACUGUUGUUGUGUCGUUCUCUUCUCGCCUGCACCAUCGUCUUCUCCGCAGUCGUCUUCUCGCCGGUUCCAUCGUUGCUCAUCCCACGACUUGCUGUCCGAUGCCAACCGACCAGAAGCAACUAUUUCUUGAAAGUGUAGCAUAAUAAAGGAGCAGAACAAGCUUAAGCUCUACAAGGUCGAACUAAAUUAUGUUCGCCACAUGGUCACAAAUGUGUCCUGUUGACGUUAG